AAAUGAAUAGACGGGGGCCCGCACAAGCGGUGGAUCAUGUGGUUUAAUUCGAAGCAACGCGAAGAACCUUACCUGGAUUUGACAUCCUUGGACAAACGCAGAGAUGCGUCUUUCGUAGCAAUACGACCAAGUGACAGGUGCUGCAUGGCUGUCGUCAGCUCGUGUGGUGACAUGUUGGGUUAAGUCCCGCAACGAGCGCAACCCUUGUCUUUAGUUGCCAGCAUUAAGUUGGGCUCUCUAAAGAGACUGCCGUGGUUAACACGGAGGAAGGUGGGGAUGACGUCAAGUCCUCAUGGCCUUUAUAUCCAGGGCGACACACGUGAUACAAUGGACGGUACAGAGGGAUGCGAACCCGCGAGGGGGAGCCAAUCUCAAAAAGCCGUUCUCAGUUCGGAUUGGAGUCUGCAACUCGACUCCAUGAAGUUGGAAUCGCUAGUAAUCGGAGAUCAGCACGCUCCGGUGAAUACGUUCCCGGGCCUUGUACACACCGCCCGU
rnacentral:rRNA from 1 species